UACGGAGGAUCCGAGCGUUAUCCGGAUUUAUUGGGUUUAAAGGGAGCGUAGGCGGGUUGUUAAGUCAGUUGUGAAAGUUUGCGGCUCAACCGUAAAAUUGCAGUUGAUACUGGCAUCCUUGAGUGCACACAGGGAUGCCGGAAUUCAUGGUGUAGCGGUGAAAUGCUUAGAUAUCAUGAAGAACUCCGAUCGCGAAGGCAAGUGUCCGGGGUGCAACUGACGCUGAGGCUCGAAAGUGCGGGUAUCAAACAGG
rnacentral:rRNA from 1 species